rnacentral:misc_RNA from 1 species
CACACACACACAUAUAUAUAUAUCUUGGAAUAUCCACUUUUAGAAGAGCUAGGUGAAGAUCAAAGCCAACAGAAAAAGGAAUUUAAACCACAUUAACUAUUGUUUCAGACAGUCACAAGCUAUGCCUUUAGAAAUUAAGGAUUCUUAUACAUUUGACUACUGCAACCAUCAGCAAUUAAUAGGCAAAAUCCCUAGCAUUUAUCAUGUAGAAAUGUUUAAGAAAAAGGAACAAAUCAUUGAGAUAAAAGUAUGUCCUGAAUCUGAAAAUUGCAAAAUAAAACAGAAACGUGGAAGGAUAAUGUAGUCACCAAUAGACGCAGACUGGUAGGAGGUCAAAGCAGAAUGCCUGGAAGGUGACGCUUAUAAUGUUGAUGUAAGAUUAGGGUCUCUUGAAAAGGUUAAUCCUAUGCCAUUUCCAUCUUCUCACUCUUCCCAUCAGCUAAUAAUUAAAAAAAAAAAAAAUGUGAGAAGCUCGGUAAGCAGAUAUGUCGACAGAGAUCUCAAAGAAAUCUCAUACAACCACCGGCCAGUUAGCUUCUUAGACAUAAUUAGUAUAGCUACAGCCGCUUUGACAAUUCAAGAUGAAGGCUACUGAUUCCCUUGCCUUCCCUUGGUACAUGUAGCCAUCAGAUCUAAAAAGACAGAAAAUAUGGGCUCAGAGAAUGAAGAAUCGAAGUGCAAACUAAAUACAAAGUGUUAUUUGCCCCUCCUAAACAUCACACAUAUAUGAGAAGCAAUGGUCUUCAAAAGCACUGGCUGAUUGUUUAUAUAUCAUCUUGGCUAGGAAAAGUCGAGUGUGUAAGGAUUGAUCUCAUCUCAGCCACACAUCUAAGGACAUGAAAAAAUAUUAGUUAAAUUCAUUUUUAAAGUUGAUGAACUUUGGCAUAAAAACUAGUGAAUUCGUUUGUGAAUAGAAUUAAUGCCAAUUUCAAUUUUAUGGUAAAUUAGUGCAAAUUUCUUACCUUUAGUCUCAAAUGAGCUAAAUCUCUUUAAAAAUAAAAAAUAAUAACAAUAAGAAUAAUUCUUCUUGCAACACUCAUUAGUGGAUCUAAGAGGACCUCAGAAACUUGAUAUUCCAUCAGUCACCCUACUCUAUGACUCUAUGUAUGCCUAAACUUUUAACAUAAUCAACU